GCCUGAGUGGCUCAGUCGGUUGAGCGUCCAACUUUGGCUUAGGUCACGAUCUUGCGGUUCGUGGGUUCGAGCCCCAUCGGGCU
rnacentral:tRNA from 1 species